AGAAUCAACGCUGGCGGCGUGCCUAACACAUGCAAGUCGCACGAGAAAGUGGAGCAAUCCACGAGUAAAGUGGCGCACGGGUGAGUAACACGUGAAUAAUCUACCUCCGAGUGGGGAAUAACUGAGAGAAAUCUUAGCUAAUACCGCAUAACACUUACGAGUCAAAGGCAGCAAUGCGCUUGGAGAGGAGUUCGCGGCAGAUUAGUUAGUUGGCGGGGUAAUGGCCCACCAAGACGAUGAUCGGU
rnacentral:rRNA from 1 species